rnacentral:lncRNA from 1 species
UAUAAUUAAUUCCCUGUAACACAAUAUAUUUUUACCUUGCCACCUUGUCGUUCAAAAAAUUGCACUCUUUUCUCCUAUAUUAAAUAGCAAAUAUAUUACUACAAAGUUUAACUUUUUAUUUUUAUCUCGGCAAAAGUCCAGUAAUAUUCAUAUUUGCCCCUCUAGUUUGUUACCGUUAGAGUAUUGUUUAUUUAUUUUAACAGAAGAUAAGAAAAAUAACAUUUUUACCCUUACGAAUAUAUCCCUCCAAAAAUUUCCAGAAAUGCCCUCCCAAAAAAUAUUUUAUCCAAUAAUAUAAGAAAAGUAAAAAUAUCAAUUUAACUCAUCCACUAAUCAUGGUUAAAUAUUUUACUCAUGGUUAACGAUAUUUUUUUUAACGGAUCCUAACAGUGGGGAUAUAUUUAAAAACGGUUGGACUUUUUUGCAGGAAUGAAAAUAAAAAAGUUAAACUUUAUAGGAAUAUAUUUGUUAUUCGAUAUGUUUACAGGGAGCUGUAUGCAAUUAGUCCAAAUUUUUAUGUCCAAUGAGGUGGCAAAGUAAAAAAAUUUUGAAAAUAAUUAUAGGACGACAAAAUGAAAAAUGAGCUAAAUCAUAGAGUAGUUAAGUGUAACUUUUUGAACCAUAGGAUGGAAAAAUAAAAAUAAGUUAGGCAAUUUAAAGUUUAUCCUUUUCAAAAUUCAUAAUGUUUCAAAUGUAGGAUCAUACAUAUAAAGGUGCGGUGCAUAGAGUGUACGUGUACACUGGGUACAGGCAAUUGUUUCUCAUAGCACAAAAUGCGCGGUGAUUUGGUUACACAUAAAGCUACUACAAAUAAUUUUAUUGAAACAUUAAAUUAUAGAAAAAAAAAAAUUAGCACUCAAUGGUUUUAAUCAUCUUAUGGACAAAUAAAACUGAAUCAACCUACAGCUAAGGAGCUGUUCAAUGCAGCGUACUCAGUAUCGACAGAAUAAUUAUUGCUUCAUAUUAUCUAACAUAAUAUCAGAAUGAGAGAUUUCAAAUUUGAAUCCCACUGGACCCUUGCCUCAUAAUUUCCACUUAUUUAACUCAACGUAUGUACUUCAAGGCAGAAGCAUUAGAGCAUAUAAAAAAAGAUUCAAGCCCAACCAUACGAAGGAAUGCUGAACAUAAUUAUUAAAAAAAAUAUCAUUAUGUAACAAUUUAAGCUUUUAAUAGAGAUAGCUGGUUGUUUCGCAAUUUUUAACAAGGUAUAUAAUACGUAGCAAAGAUAUAUAAAAUGGGGGCAGUAGUUUCUCGAAUGUUUCUGAGAAAAAGAGAGGAAAUGAAAUUGAAGUUUCAUAGAGAAGACUUAUACAAGUCAAAGUGCAAGAAAUUUGUCCCCCUUCCGUAACUACCAACCAAACUCAAUUAUUGCAUAUAACUACAUCAUAUACACGGCAUUUCUAAAAGUCCUUGGUAGAGAUUUUAACAUUAAAAUUUAUAUUAAAAUACAAAAAAAAAAUUCUGUAAAUAAUUAUUUUUUAUUUUUUUGAUUUUAAAAGAUUUAUAUUUUGUCUGCUUAAAAUUUCAGAUUUGUUUUAAGACAGUUACGGCAUUAACCAACUAGGUGAAAUGACAAAACUACCGUUAUUCAUUCUGGAGAGAAAAAAUAAUUUUUAAUAUAUUUUCAGCAUUUUUAAUCACGUAUUCUGUAUAUCUAGUUAUGAAUUAUAAGAAAUAGAUGGAAAAGUGACGGAACGCUGACGGUAGGAACCAAGUGUAUAAACUUGAAAUUUUGAGAACCAAAAAUGAAAAUUUUUGAAAAUUAGUAGAAGAAGGUGAAAAGACGAAUAUUUAUAGAAAAAUAUUCUGUAUUACUCUAAAAUUUAACUAGUGCUUUACGGCCGCAUUAUAGACAAUUAUUGAUUUUUUUUAUUUUACUUGAUGUUAGUGUAAUAAGUUUUUUCCCAAAUCUUGUUUUUUUUUUUUAGGAAAAACUUCAAAAAACCCCCUGUGGUUUCGCACUUUCUCACUUUAGUAUCCUGUGGUUUAAAGUGUAUCAAUUUGCCCUCCUGUAGUUUUAUUUUUAUCUUUUCGGCAGCUUUUUUCUUAAUAUUUCGUUAAAUUAUAUACAAAAAACUUCAGAUACUCAUCUAGAUUUAUCGAAUAUUUAUUUUAGUAUCCUUUAAUUUUAACUUUGUAACUGAUUUAAGAAAAAAUAAUAAUAAAAUUGAUAAUACAAAGAGAAAAACGAAACCAUAGGGAGGCAAAUUUAUAGACUUUAACGGUACUAAAGUAAAAAAGUGCGAAACCAUAGGGUGAUUUCUGAAGUUAUCCCUCUUUUUUAUAUAUAGUCCCUUUACUGUUCUAGAUCACAUUAGUUGAAUUUAGCUCGGAUUUUAAAAGUUACUCAUAAAAAAACUACGUGGAAAUAAUUGCAUAAGGGAAUUAAUUAUUGGCUCCACCUUUUGUAUUUACAUGGUCUAUGCAUAGAAAUUAAAAAAAAAAAAAAAAAUUGACAUUGGUUCCUUAUAAUUAAUUCCCUGUAACACAAUAUAUUUUUACUUUGCCACCAUGUCGUUCAAAAAAUUGCACUCUUUUCUCCUAUAUUAAAUAGCAAAUAUAUUACUACAAAGUUUAACUUUUUAUUUUUAUCUCGGCAAAAGUCCAGUAAUAUUCAUAUUUGCCCCUCUAGUUUGUUACCAUUAGAGUAUUGUUUAUUUAUUUUAACAGCAGAUAAGAAAAAUAACAUUUUUACCUUUACGAAUAUAUCCCUCCAAAAAUUCAUUACACAGAAAUGCCCUCCCAAAAAAUAUUUUAUCCAAUAAUAUAAGAAGGGUAAAAAAAAAAAAAAAAAAAGAAAAUAAUUAUAGGACGACAAAAUGAAAAAUGGGCUAAACCGUAGAAUAAUUAAGUGUAACUUUUUGAA